rnacentral:tRNA from 1 species
GACAAGAUGGCUGAGUUUUAGGCUGUAAAUUGUAAAUUUAUAAACGGUUAAUGACCUCUUGUUA